CAAUAGCGUAUAUUAAUGUUGUUGCAGUUAAAAAGCUCGUAGUUGGAUUUCUGACAGGAGCGACCGGUCCGAGCCUUCGGGUUCGUGUACUUUGUGUUGUCUCUAGUCAUCCUUAUGGAGAGCGUGUCUUUCAUUAAUUUGUUGGGCAUGGGAUCCAUAUCGUUUACUGUGAAAAAAUUAGAGUGUUCAAAGCAGGCAAUCGCUGUGAAUAUAUUAGCAUGGAAUAAUAGGAUAGGACUUUGGUACUAUUUUGUUGGUUUGCAUACCAAGGUAAUGAUUAAGAGGGACAGUUGGGGGUAUUCGUAUUUAAUUGUCAGGGGUGAAAUUCUUGGAUUUAUGAAAGACGAACUACUGCGAAAGCAUUUACCAAGGAUGCUUUCAUUAA
rnacentral:rRNA from 1 species